UUACGACAAAGUUGAAAAAAUAUCAUAACGAUGGCCAUUCUAAGGUCCCAUUACUAUACUCUUGCUUUUGUUGCUCUUUUCAUAGUUUUCGUGAUGGUUUCUUCUCCUCUCAUGAUAGCAAGCUCCCAUGCAGCUCGUUUAUUGACCAAAACAGAUCAUAUUCAACCUUUGUGUUGCGAGUGCUGUGGUUGUUGCUCUACUUCUGAUCCGUUGAAGCCGUGAAUAUAAUUUCAUUGGACUUAUAUUACUGCUUCAUCAAAUCCAACUUCAACAUCGUCACCUAUCGUCUCUAAUAUAUAAAGACAUCCUUCAAUAGUAAACCAGUACUCAGCUCAAUAUAUAAGCUGAUCAAAAGCCAUGUACUAAUGUCCAUUUGAAUGGUUGGAAGCUUGAAUCUCCAUUAAUCCGUAUGAAUUCAAAUCUAGCUUGUUACUUAUGGUUUUUGUUGUAUAUUCAUGCAUGUAUUCUAUGUAAUGGUAAUUUGAACAUUAAUUAAACGAAAUUAAACCCA